UACGUGAGCCCCAAGCGUUAUCCGGAUUUAUUGGGCGUAAAGUGUCUGUAGGCGGUUUGUCAGGUUUCCUGUUAAAUCUCUAGGGCUUAACCUUAGAACUGCAGGAAAAACCGGCAGACUAGAGGGCGUUAGAGGCUGGUGGAACGGUCGGUGUAGGGGUGAAAUCCGUUGAUAUCGACCGGAAUUCUAAAAGCGAAGGCAUCCAGCUGGGGCGACCCUGACGCUGAGAGACGAAAGCGUAGGUAGCGAAAAGGAUUAGAUACCCUCGUA
rnacentral:rRNA from 1 species